rnacentral:rRNA from 1 species
UUAAAAUGAGAGUUUGAUCCUGGCUCAGGACGAACGCUGGCGGCGUGCCUAAUACAUGCAAGUCGAGCGAGCGGAACUAACAGAUUUACUUCGGUAAUGACGUUAGGAAAGCGAGCGGCGGAUGGGUGAGUAACACGUGGGGAACCUGCCCCAUAGUCUGGGAUACCACUUGGAAACAGGUGCUAAUACCGGAUAAGAAAGCAGAUCGCAUGAUCAGCUUUUAAAAGGCGGCGUAAGCUGUCGCUAUGGGAUGGCCCCGCGGUGCAUUAGCUAGUUGGUAAGGUAAAGGCUUACCAAGGCGAUGAUGCAUAGCCGAGUUGAGAGACUGAUCGGCCACAUUGGGACUGAGACACGGCCCAA